AUUGAACGCUGGCGGCAGGACUAACACAUGCAAGUCGAGCGAGCGGCGGACGGGUGAGUAAGGUAUGGGGGCUGCCCGAUCGCGGGGAAUCACUACUGGAAACGGUGGCUAAUACCGCAUACUAUCGGAUAACCCAUAUGGGAUUAGCUAGUAGGUGGGGUAAAGGCUCACCUAGGCGACGAUCUCUAGCUGGUCUGAGAGGAUGAUCAGCCACACUGGGACUGAUACAUGGACCAUACUCCUACGGAGGCAGCAGUGGGGAAUAUUGCACAAUCGGCGGCAGCGUGAUGUAGCUAUGCGGCGUGGAGAAUGAAGGCCUUAGGGUUGAAAAGCACCCACAGCGGGGAGGCGUUAGCCGCAGAAGACGCACCGACUAAAUCUGGUCCAGCAGCCGCGGUAAUAC
rnacentral:rRNA from 1 species